rnacentral:rRNA from 1 species
AAGAGUCGAGUUGCUUGGGAUUGCAGCUCAAAGUGGGUGGUAAAUUCCAUCUAAAGCUAAAUAUUGGUGGGAGACCGAUAGCGUACAAGUACCGUGAGGGAAAGGUGAAAAGAACCCUAGGAAAGGGAGUGCAAUAGAAAGAAAUC